GAGGGGGAGGUAGAGGAGGGGAUGCGAAAGUGGGUCAAGAAUGUAACUGGACGCUGCGCACCCCCCACACAGACACCACCACCACCACCACCACCACCACCCCUUUGCCCGCGAGGCGCCCGCGCCAGCCUUGGAAAGCGAGUCUUGCUGUUGUGGUUCCCCAGCGUUAUCGGUGGACGGUUACCAGGGAUCCCGGGGGAUGUGUUUCCCUGUGACCCUUUGGGAAGAAAAACUCCGUUGCCUCAGUAACCGAGUUUGGCUUGGCUGCAGUGAUGCAGUGAGUGUUCUAGUGGACCUUAGCUACAGCGUGAAGGACAGCAGCUUUGGGAGCAAGGCCCAAAAGAGCCAUGCAGCCCCAGACUCUGAAGAAAUGUGCAACUGCUGAAGUUUUAUUCUGAAGCAAAAAGGGGGAAUUGACAGCUCUGUUGGUCUCCUUAAAUGAUAUCAUUUGUUUUGCAAGUGUUUGUGUCCCAAAAGAGUUUUAUAAUUUUCUUUAUAAAACUAUAUACAGUUGACUCAUGAAAACAGGGAUUAGGAGCGCCGACCAUCCCUGGGCACUUGAAAAUCCAGGUAUAACAUUUGACUCCCUGAAAACUUAACUAUUAAUUGCCUAUUAAUCAGAAAUCUUACAGAUAACAUAAACAGUUGAUUAACACACAGUUGGUAUGCUAUGUAUUAUAUACUGUGUUUUUACUAUAAAGUAAGCUAGAGAAAAGAAAAUGUUUAUUCAAAUUGUUGCACAUUUCCAAAAAAAUUCCCAACAUAUUAAUUGAAAAAAAUCUACGUAUAGAUGGACCCAUGCAGUUCAAGCCUGUGUUGUUCAAGGGUUAACUGUAUAAUAAAAAAUAUAUUACUAUACACAUGUAUUACAAUAUAUUACUAAAUACAUAUAGUAUGUAUUCCUAGGAACCUUAAAAGUUUUUAUUCUAUUGUAAAUGUCAUUUUUAAAGUUUUUUGGAGGGUAUGCAAUAGUAUUGUGUUUUGAUUUAGAAUGUUUUAUAAGCUGAUUUUGGUAAUUUUUUAUUAAUAAUUACUAAGCACUUGUGAGAGUAGGCAGGAAACAUGCACAUGGGCAUCUGGGUGCUUGCCCUGCCACAAGUAUUGCCCUGGUUUCCCAGAGGGAACAUUUUACCCAUUUUGCGGAAUUUUAAGCUGUUGUAUCUCACUGACUUCUGUCGUUGAAACCUGUCUGAGAAUUUUGGCAGUCUGGGGCAGUCUGUACAUCAGGCUGCUUUCAAUUCAUAAUUUCUUCUGAGUUUUUGAGAUCAUUAUAUUUCAGUGCUGGUUUAUAGAGCACCCAAAGUAUACUUGAGACCUUUUCAGAUCUUAUUUCCAAUGCUUAUUUUUCCUUAAAUUCUGUACUGAAGGUGCUGCACCCUUUGACAGUGGAGUGGCAGCUUUACCCAAGGACUUGCAUCCAGCGUUGAGUAAGCUUUCCCUGGGUGGAAACGCACAUUGCUCCUUUUUAUA